UGUGUAGAGGAAUUAGAUGACGAUGAUGCUCUGAGAUUGUUUCAGAAGGAGGCUAGAAUACAGGGUGAAAUGUCCAAGUGGAAACAAGAAAUUGUUAAGAAGUACUGUGCAGGGUUACCUAUGGCAAUAGUUACAGUUGGAAGGGCAUUAAGAGACAAGAGCGACUCAGAGUGGGAAAAACUUAAAAAUCAAGACCUGGUGGGAGUUCAGAAUUCUAUGGAGAUUUCUGUAAAAAUGAGUUAUGACCGUCUAGAAAAUGAGGAGCUCAAGUCCAUUUUCUUUCUUUGUGCUCAAAUGGGUCAUCAACCCCUAAUUAUGGACUUGGUGAAGUAUUGCUUUGGUUUGGGAAUACUUGAGGGGGUCUACUCACUUGGGGAAGCUCGGAGCAGAAUAUCUACAUUAAUCCAAAAGCUGAAAAACUCAGGUUUGGUGUUGGAUGGAAGUUCUAGUAUUCAUUUCAAUAUGCAUGAUCUGGUUCGAGAUGCUGCUUUAUCUAUAGCACAGAAGGAGCAAAAUGUAUUUACUUUGAGAAAUGCCAAACUUGAUGAUUGGCCUCAACUCGAGAGGUGCACUUCUAUUUCUAUAUGCAACAGUGAUAUCAUUGAUGAGCUUCCAGAAGAAAUAAAUUGUCCUCAACUUAAAUUUUUCCAAAUUGACAGCGAUGAUCCAUCCUUAAAAAUACCUGACAGUUUUUUUAAAGGAAUGAAAAAGCUCAAAGUAUUAAUGUUGACUGGUAUUCAACUAUCAAGAUUACCAUCUUCAAUUGAAAGCCUAUCAGACCUCAGAUUGCUUUGUUUGGAGCGAUGCACUUUAGAUCACAACUUAUCCAUCAUAGGGAAGCUGAAAAAAUUAAGAAUUCUCAGUUUUUCUGGAUCUCGAAUUGAAAAUUUGCCAGCUAAGUUAAAGGACUUGGAUAAACUACAAUUACUAGACAUCAGCAAUUGUUCAAUGGUCAAGAUGAUUCCGCCUAAUCUUAUAUCAAAAUUGACUUUGUUGGAAGAGCUGUAUGUUAGAAAGAGCUUCAUCGAAGUGUUGGAGGAAGGAGAAAGAAACCAUAGUCAAAUUUCAUUUCUUUCUGAACUAAAGCAUUUGCAUCAAUUGCAAGUGGUGGAUUUAAGCAUUCCAUGUGCUGAAGCUUUUCCCGAUGAAUUGUUCUUUGACAACUUAACUGAUUACAAGAUUGAGAUUGGGAACUUCAAAACACUUUCAGUUGGAGAUUUCAGGAUGCCUAAUAAGUAUGAAAAGUUCAAAUCUUUGGCAUUGAAGCUGAAGGAUGACACUGACAAUAUUCACUCUCAGAAAGGAAUAAAGUUGUUGUUUAAAAGAGUUGAAAAUUUGUUGUUGGGAGAGCUGAAUGGUGUUCAAGAUGUUAUUAAUGAGUUGAAUUUGGAUGGAUUUCCAUAUCUGAAACACUUAUCCAUCGUAAACAACCCUAGCAUCAAAUGCAUCAUCAACUCAAAGGAUUUGUUUUAUCCCCAGGAUGUUUUUCCCAAGUUGGAAUCUCUAUGCCUCCACAAACUAAGAAAGAUAGAGAUGAUAUACUUUAGUUCAGGUACAAAGAUGAUAUUUACAGAUUGCUCAUUCACCAACUUGAAAACCAUCAAGGUCGAGAUGUGUGACCAAUUGAAGAAUCUUUUCUCCUCUUGCAUGGUUAAAUUGCUUGUGAGUCUUGAAACAAUUGGUGUUUCCCAUUGUUUUUCUUUAGAAGAGAUGGUUAAAAUACCUGACAAUUCUGAUAAGAUUGAGUUUCUUAAGUUGAAGUCUUUGUCACUUCAAUCAUUAUCAUCAUUCACUAGUUUUUAUACCACAGUAGAGGGGUCUUCCACAAACAGGAAUCACAUACAAAUUACUGUUAUAGAGACGGAGCAUAGUGAGAUGGCUCCUCCUCUUUUUGGUGAACUGGUAUGAUAGUGCAUAUUUUUCCUUUAAAUUUUUUAAUUAGUUUGUGACUAAUUAUUUUUUAGUUGUAAAUAUGUUAAUUGUGUAUGUGCUUGCAGGUUGAAAUACCAAACUUAGAGAACUUGAAUUUAAUCUCAAUGAACAAGAUCCAGAAGAUAUGGAGUGACCAGCCCCCGUCAAAUUUCUGCUUUCAAGACUUAAUAAAAUUAGUUGUGAAAGAUUGUCAUAAUUUGAGAUAUUUGUGUUCAUUGUCCGUUGCUAGCAGUUUGAGGAAACUGAAAGGCCUCUUUGUAAGCAACUGUAAAAUGAUGGAAAAGAUUUUUAGCACAGAAGGAAAUAGUGCAGACAAGGUGUGUAUAGGUGUAAAUAAGUAAAUUUUUAUAGUUGACUGAAUGUUAUGCAUUUCUAUUUAGUUUCGUUACCAAAUAAUGGCUUGUUGUCAUCAAAGUGCAGGUUUGCAUCUUUCCUAAGUUGGAGGAAAUCCACCUCGACCAAAUGAUUGAGUUAACAGACAUAUGGCAAGCUGAAGUGAGUGUUGAUUCCUUUUCUAGUCUCACUUCUGUGUACAUUUUUCGUUGCGAUAAACUAAACAAAAUUUUUCCAAGUCACAUGGAAGGAUGGUUUGCGAGUUUGAACAGCUUGAAGGUUCAUUAUUGUGAGUCAGUGGAAGUGAUUUUUGAAAUCAAAGAUUCUCUGCAAGUAGAUGCAUCUGGUGGGAUAGACACAAAUUUGCAGGUUGUUGAUGUAUGCAAUCUCCCAAAGUUGGAGCAUGUGUGGAGCAGGGAUCCAGGAGGAAUUCUUAACUUCAAAAAUCUGCAGAGUAUAGAAGUGUCUGGUUGUAAUAGACUGAGGAAUGUAUUUCUAGCUUCUGUGGCCAAAGAUGUUCCAAAGCUUGAAUACAUGUCGGUACAAAGUUAUGGAAUUGUGGAAAUUGUUGCCUGUGAAGAUGGAUCCGAAAAAAACACUGAACAAUUAGUGUUUCCUGAACUAACCUACAUGACCUUAUAUAACCUAUCAAGCAUCCAACAUUUCUACAGGGGGAGACAUCCUAUAGAGUGUCCAAAAUUGAAGAAGUUGGAAGUAAACAAAUGCAACAAGGAGCUAAAAACAUUCCAAACAAGAGAAUGCAGCAAUGAAGAAGAUGAAGUAGUUUUGUCAGCUGAAAAUGUAAGUCAUAUUGUGAGACAUAAAGGAAAAACAAAAUGCAGAGUGAUAUUGUAAGAAGUGUGGCAUACUUAAAAAAGAUAUAACCCUGCUAAAUAUAAUAUGGAUAGAACUUUUAGAAUUGAUUAUUAAUAGUUUAACGUCUGUGAUCCCCCAAUCCCUCUUUGUUUAAAUCAUCUAAUCCAAAUUCCUCAUUGUGGCUUACAAAUUUUUUAGAAUUUAGAAUUCAAGGGAAUUUUUGAUUAAUUAUUAUAAUUUAAUUUACCGUGGUACUAUAAAGUACUGUUAAGAGCAUUUUUUAGUCUUGAUGGGACCCGAGAGUAACCAAUAUGCAGGCAAGGAGUAAAAUAAGUGAAGAGAGAGAAAUGCAAUAUAUUUUGCUAUGUAAGUGUAUGUAAAUGCUCUUACAAUAAAGUAGCUUCCUUCUUCAUAGUGUACUAUUUACUUUUGUUUUAUUUUUCUGUAGAUAUUCCCCAACUUGGAGUAUUUGGAUAUUGACUUUGACGAAGCACAGGAGUGGUUAUUGAGCAACACUGUGAAGCAUCGAAUGCACAAUUUAAAAGAGCUUAGGUUGUGCUAUGUUAAUGAUGGUGAACGUCUCUGUCAGAUUCUGUACAGAAUGCCAAAUCUAGAAAAGUUAUAUUUGUUUAACUCUGAACAUUUGCUUAAAGAGUCAUCGGAGUCACGUUUGGGAACCGUAAUACAGCUGAAAGAAUUGGUUUUGUGGUCUUCGAAGAUAAAGGAUAUAGGAUUUGAACGAGAACCAGUUCUACAGAGACUAGAGCUUUUGAGCUUACAUUGGUGCCACAAAUUGAGGAAUUUGGCUCCUCCCUCGGUAUCAUUGGCUUACUUGACAAAUUUGGAAGUAAGGAAUUGUGGUAGAUUAAGGAAUUUAAUGGCAUCCUCAACGGCAAAAAGCUUGGUUCAACUUAAGUCCAUGAAGAUAAGCGAAUGCGAUGAAUUAGAGGAAAUAGUAAGCAAUGAGGGAAAUGAAGAAGAAGAGCAAAUAGUGUUUGGCAAAUUGAUUACUAUAGAACUUGAGUACCUACUGAAUCUGAAAAGUUUUUGCAGUUACAAUAACUGUGAAUUCAAAUUCCCGUCAUUGGAAAUAUUGAUUGUGAGAGAAUGCCGAAUGAUGCAAACAUUCACGGAGGGUGGUGCAAGAGCACCAAAGUUACAAAAUAUAGGUGGUGGUGUUGAAAAAGGUAAAGAGGAAGCCAUGUGGCAGUGGGAAGGAGACUUGAAUGCCACCAUACAAAAAGGUUUCUACCAGGAGGUACUUACAUUUAUUUUAUCAGUUCAAGUUUGUUAAAUUUCUUUAAGAUAUAAAUAUGUUAGCUUAAAAAAAUCAGCAUUUAUAUAAAUUUAUUAAUCAUUUUUGUUUGAAAAACUUCAUUCAUGAAAUUUAAAAUGAUACGAAUUUGACUGCUUCAUGUACCCAGCGUAGUCAUAAAGAAAACCUUCCCUCAUCUUACAACUUUUCUUUUUAAUCCAAAUAAAUAAACUUCAAUUCAUAUUGAUUGUGAUCCAUGAAUUUUUUGUUAACACUUUUAGUCUUUCUAGACAUUUUUGCUCAUUAUUAAUCCUUUGUUUAUGUUAUAUUUAAGAUUAAUUUUGAGCAACAAAAUAAAUGACUAAAAAUGGACAAACACAUUUAGAGGGAAACUUUAAUGAAUGCUUGAAAAUUGUCAAAAAAAAUUGAGGAAACAAAAAUUAUAAUAUAAAAAAGAUGAAAAGUUAAAAACUUAAUUAAAAACACUAACAUGUUGAUUUGUGAUAACAAGUUAACAAAUUUAUCCAUAUAAUUUGCGGUCAUCUAUAUAUUUAUAAAAUAAAAGUCUCAUAAGAGGUUAUUAUAACUUAUAAUAAGGUUAAUUUUGUAGUUAGGAAGAAGGAUUUCAAGGAAAAAGGAUGAAAGAGGUUUUGAGUUAGAAUACUAUCACUAAUAUUCUAAUAAAAAAACUACCCGCUAAUAUUAAUUGAUAAAAAAAAUCUCAUGAAAAUAAUGUCUUAUAUAUUGAUGAAUAAGGAUAAAAUGUAUUUUUUUUGUUAAAAUAUGAAAUCACGUGAAAAUAAAAUGACAUUUUUACACCUAAGAGUAAAUAAUAAAAUAUUUCUUAAACUAAAUCAUCCAUAAUUUCAUCAUUGAUAAAAAAAAAUUAUGUUAUUUACUUAUAUUUUUUUUGUUUAACCUUUUGUGCAGCUAUCCAUAAUUAGUAUUUUAGCACAUGGCAGAAAAUAAAUAUUUAUUUAUACAACAAGAAUUUUUAAUUUAUAAUAAAUAAAUAUUUUAUGUAUAUAAAUUAUAUUAUAAUUAAAUUUGCUAAUAUAUUAUUUUUAACAUAUAAAUUACAUUUUAAAUUUAUGUUAGGAUGUAUUAUUAUUUUAAAUAAUUGAUGUUUUCUUUGAAAAAUAUUUAAAUUAAAGUUAGAAACAAGGAUGCCGUCAAGUUUUCUUAAGCCAAUUAUCUUAGUUUUGUUUCUCUCUAAUGGAAGGAAGGUGUUUUAAUGGUCCCCUUGAUGAUGAAACUUGGAAUGUAAUUUUAUAAUAAACAACGGACAUAAUUGCUCCCUCCAUAUUAAUAUCUGUUUGCCACACAACUCAGUCUCAUCAUUCUUUGGCGUUGGCUUCUUCAUCUUAUACUAAGAUAGCAAGAGUUGAUGGAUUCAUUUUUUAUUAUUAAUUAUUAAUUAUAUAAAAAUUUAUUUAUAUUUAUUAUCCAUUUGACUAGUGAGUUUUAAGAUAUUAGGUGUUUUUCAUUAAAAUAUAAUAAAUAUAUUUUUAAUUAAUAUGAUAAUCUUAAACUAAAAAAAAUAUUAUAUUUAUUAUUAAGAAUUUUUCAUUGAAAGUUUAAAAUAAUGUUAACAACUAAGAAUUCUCACUUGAAUUAAUUUAAUGAUAUCAUUCACACGUGAAUUAUAUAUAUAUAUAUAUAUAUAUAUAUAUAUAUAUAUAUAUAUAUAUAUAUAAUUUAAUAAAUAAGAUUAAUUAUUUUUCUUCAAUAAAGAUGAUUAUGUAUACAUUAAUAUAUCCUGAUUAUUAUUAUCCUAUUUUAUAAUAAUCUUAUGAUAAAAAAAUAAAUUAGACUAAAAUUAUAAAAAAAAAUUGAUUAUUAUUAUUAUUUCUAUCAUAUAACAUGUGUUUAAUUUUAAUCCAGACCUAUCAAGUUAACAAUUUAAUAAAAAAUAAAUAAUAAUAUUUUUUACCAAAAUUGAUAAUAUGAUAUAUAUAUAUAUAUAUAUAUAUAUAUAAUUCUACAUUUUUACUUAUGGUUUAUCUAAAAAUAAUAAAAUAAAUAUAUGAUCUUAUAGUUUAUAUUGUAAAUAGAUUUCUUUAUUAAUUAAUAAUAUUUUUUAUAAUAUAGAGCUGUUUCUUUUCAUUUGUUAAACCCAUGUUUGUUUGAAUUUUUAUUCAGAAUUGUUAUAAUUUUGAGAGAGAAAAAUAUGAUUAUUUUCUUUAAGUUCAUUAAAAAAUCCAUAGAUUUUUUUCCCUGUAUCCUCACACAAAUAUUUUGUAUAUAAAAAAAAACAAACUAAAUGUUUCAGGUUCAUUUUUUUCACACAAAAAAAUGGAAAUGAAAUUUUUAAUUUUUCAGACAAAAGUAAAAAAAAAAUUAUACUAUAUAAAAAAUAUUUUGGUUCCUCCAAUAUUUUUUUUUCUCAAAGUUCCGCCACUGAUUUCAUGCGUCUCUAUGUCUAAUAUCAAGUUCCUCUCUUUUUCUUUGUCUUUUUAUUAACUAAAUUCAGUAUUAAUACAGUAACUGAUUUAUGACUAAUCUAUCUAUUUGUUAUGAUGUAAUCGCCAGCUAUGAAACUGACAUAUUAGCCUUUUGUAUGCAAUAUCCUAUUUUGCAUGCACAGCUUUUGGACUCUACACGUGCUUCUAAAAGUCUCAGAGUCAGCCCACGACUACAAGAGAUAUGGCUUGACUCACGGCGGAUCCCAAAGUCGUGCUUCAGUAAGUUGAAGUAUUUGACUGUGGACGGAUGCCAACUUUUAACAGAUGUUGUCAUACCCUUCUCUUUACUUCCUUUCUUAACUAAUUUGGAACAAUUACAUGUCCGAAAGUGUGGUUCUGUGAAAAGCAUAUUUGACGUGAAAACAGCUAUGGGAUUGGGAGCAGCAGCCUUCCCUAGACCUCUCCCUUUUUCCCUCAAGAAAUUGACUUUAGAGAGGCUGCCAAAACUGGAGAAUAUCUGGAAUGAAGAUCCUCAUGGAAUUCUAAGCGUGCAACAUCUACAACUUGUUAUUGUUGAGAAAUGUAAAUGCCUUACAAGUGUGUUUCCGGCAUCAGUAGCCAAAGAUCUUGAAAAACUAGUUGUCAAAGACUGUGAGGGAUUGAUGGAAAUUGUUGCAGAGGAUAAUGCAGAUCCAAGAGGAGCAAAUCUAGACCUUAUGUUCCCGUGUCCCUGUGUGAGGUCAUUGAAACUACAAGGUUUGCCCAAGUUCAAGUAUUUUUACUACGGCUCACUGCAGUGUGACAUGUUCCAGACACCUACCGAGGAUGGAAAGGUACUAUUGUCUUACUACUUUGUCCUUACCGCAGAAUCUGAUGCCUGCUUAUUAUAUAUAAUUGCACUACUUUUAUAAGAAUUGAAUUAUCACCAUUAGUUUCUAUACUUCAUUUUUAUUGUUCAACAUGAGUGAUAUGAACAUGCUCUUAAAAUUAAAAUGUGAAAAUUUCACGUAUAUUGCUAUAUAUAUGCCGUGUUCUAUCUUCUAUGCCUAUUAACUCCCAUUUUUCAUGUUUUACAUAAAUAAGUAAAAGAAUACACUUAAGGGUACAUGUUACAUUCAUGAUACAACAAUGACAUUUUAGGUUAUUAAUACACACGAUUACAUAGAAUCUUACACACGCUAUUUUACUUUAUCAAAUAUUAUGUAUGGAUACGAUGGUUCUCAAAUCGUUAUAAACAAUCUCCCUACCAUCUAAAGGAUCGAAUUUUUCAUCAUUUUCUUCUCCGUUGGAACAACUACAACCUCCCUAAAGGUCUCCUUUAUCACUUUUUCCAUCUAAAACUUUAAACUACAAAUAAAUAAAUUUGUUUAGGCUCAUACCGCAUCAAAAUCCCUUUAUUAAUAACUAGCCUGGUUCAUCUCUUUUUCCUUUUUGGUUUAGUGAACUUUUUUUCUUCUUUGCAUUGACUUGUUUGAACCUAUUUUAUUGUAAUAGUUAAUUUGUAACUAAUUAUCGGAUAUCUUUUAUCAUGAAAUUAGAGUUCGUUUUUCAUUGUAAAUAAAAGAGCUGGAUCUAUAACUGCCCUAACCUUCUUUUGCUUGGUUAUCGGUUUCUCUUGGUAGCUUACAUCCAACUUGCAAUGCCUGUCACUGGGUGAAAAAGGACUGGAGAUGAUCAAGCGUGGAGAAUUUCAGAGAAACUUCUUGCACAAGCUACAAGUUCUUACUGUGGGCUUUCAUAUAGGGUCCGAUGAAUUUCCAUAUGAAAUUCUACAACUGGCGCCCAAUAUAGAGAAGCUUGUGGUGUGUGAUGGUUCCUUCAAGGAGAUUUUCUGCUUUGAUAGUCUUAAUGUGGAUGAGGCUGGACUCCUAUUACAGCUCAAAGUCUUAUGCUUGGACUCCCUUCCAGAGCUUGUUUCCAUUGGGUUAGAGAACUCUUGGAUUCAGCCCUUACUGGGAAAUCUAGAAACCUUGGAAGUAAUAGGUUGUUCUAGUCUAAAAGACUUGGUACCAUCUACAGUGUCUUUCUCCAAUCUGACAUAUUUGCAAGUAGAAAGAUGCAACAACCUGCGUCAUUUGUUCGCAUCCUCAACAGCAAGAAGUUUGGGUCAACUCAAAAGAAUGGAGAUAAAAAGGUGUGAUUCAAUUGAAGAGAUAGUCUCUAAGGAGGGGGAUGAAUCACAUGAGAAUGAAAUAAUAUUUCCGCAACUCAAUUGUUUGAAACUUGAAGAAUUACGAAAGCUGAGAAGCUUCUAUAAAGGAAGUUUAUUAAGUUUCCCAUCAUUGGAGGAAUUGUCAGUAAUGGAGUGCGCGUGGAUGGAAACAUUAUGUCCUGGUACCCUAAAAGCAGACAAGUUGGUUCAACUUCAACUUGACAGGUACUUAUAUGAACGUGAGGAGUCAUCAGAUGCUAUCAAAUUGGAAAAUGACCUGAACUCUACCAUGCGGGAGGCAUUUAGGGAAAAGGUAUGUUUUCAAUUAUUUUGAUUAAAUAUGAUUGAUAUUGGUGUAUGUUGUUCUUAUAAUGCAAAAUAUACACCGUUAGGUUAAUUAGAUUCAUCCUCAAAAUAACUUUGGCCUCAUCCAAUAAUUUAUCUUUGGAUUCUCAGCGUCGUCCAAUUUUUCGGAAAACCAAAAAACUCACAGAAACAACAUUUAUGUGCCAAUCUAAUUUGGCUCAUAUUAAUUUUUUACGUUAAACUCAUAAUAAUUUAAUCUAUUUUCUAUGUACUUUAUCAAUGCUACUUAACUUAUAUAUAUUAAUAAUACUGAUAUAAAAUGAAUCCGAACUCUUUCAAGCCACUGCAGAAAUGAUUUGAAAAUUAUUUAAUUUUUAUUUUAUUAGUAAACCAUUUAAUUUUAUUUACAUUAAUCCUAUUGAAUAAAAGAAACUAUCAAUCUUUUAUAAUCCACUCUUAUAUAUACAUUCAAAAUAUUUAUCUUUUAGCAAUUUUAACUAUAUAAAAAAAUUAUCUUCUAGGAUUAAGAUACUAAUUAUAUUUAAAAUCUAGAUUAGGGUAGUUAAAAUGUUAGCUGUCCUUUUUUUUAAUUUUCUUUAACUUUUUGUUAUUUCUUCAUUUAUAUAUUAAAAUAGAUUAAAUAGAUAUUAAAAAAAAUUAGAGUGACUUGAAGAAGUUUAGAUUCAUUAUUAUUAUUAUUAUUAAUUACUAGUACAAAUAAAAGUUAAGUAGUAUAAGUAAGGUAUGUAAAAAAUAAAUAAUUAAAAUAUUAAUGAGUUUAGCUUACUAAAAAAGUAAGAGAUUCUUUUUUGAGCAUAAGGUAAGAGAUUAAUAUAAGUCAAAUAAUCUUAUUUAUCAACUUAAUUGUAUGAUGUGACUGCAAGAUCAAUCUAAUGGUAUAUAUUGUGUUGGAGAGAAAAAUAUGUUGGAGAGCAUCUUAAUCCUAUGUUUUGACUGAGAUUAAAUAUAUUGUAUUUGUUAGUAAUUAUUGUAUAUAUGAAUUUUUUAUAAGGAAGAGUCAUUGAAUUUGUGUAUUUUUCUUAUAAAUAACUCCCUGAGAGACCAAUAAAUAUGUUAAAUUGUUUUUUAAUUUUUCUAAAUAAGGUAAAAAAAAAAAUACUCCACUAUCUAGCUUUAGUCAUGCGUAUGUUUUGUCGAAUGAUUAAUUUUGAAUUUUGAAAAAUAAUCUACUCUCUUUCUGAUAUAAAUAUCUAGAAACUUUUUUAUAAGGACAACAAAGGCAUAUAAAAAAUAUUUUGAAAAAUACUUUCAUUGUGUGUAUUUCAUGAUAAAUUUAAAAAGAAUGUACUAGAAUCAACUAGUUGAAAACUGUUAUGUCAGACACAUUGAUCCAGAAAACAACAAACACUUCUUGAAUUUUAUAAUAAUUAUAACAUUAAUCAUUACAUCGAUAACUUAAAUAAUUUUACAUUAACUAUUCUUAUUUAUUAUUAUUAUUAUAACAGACAAGCCUUUUAAAAAAAUAAUAACAAUAUACAAGAUUGGUUUUAUUUUAUACUAUGCUCUUUUUAUAUAAUGGUUUUAUACAAGAUUGUCAAAGUAACUCGCUUCCAGAUUUCACCAAGCAAUGGGUGGAUGGAAGAAUAAAGAUGUGGCAACAACCCAUCAAAUAUUUAAAAUGUAAUAUAAAUAAAACACGAAAUCAAAUAAUUAAUAAUUUACUAUAUUCUCCAUAUCAGUUGAAAUCAAACAUCAAGAUUGAUCUCUCUCCAAGUACUAACAUUAAUAAGCUAUCUCAAGAAACCAUACAACAUUCACCAACCUGUUAAUUAGCAUAGUGUCCCCUUUCCCCGCAUUACUCUUUCAUCAUCUUGUCAUAAUUUUAUUUUUUGUCAGUAUAAGUAUACUAACGAAUCAAAUGACGUGAACCUAGAAAGAGAGAUGACGUUCUCAAAUUCUCAGCCACAAACAACCAUCUCUCUUUGGAAAAGGAUAGUAAACUAAAUAUAACUGAGGAAAGAAAAAACAAACCUCGAACCACUCUAUAAGCCUCCCUCUUGUAUUCCUCCUGUUCAUUGGCGUCAAAAACAGAAGCGUUGAAAUUGAUUACAGUUGGCCAUCAUUUGGGCAAUUUCCUUUGGAACGGAACCACCUUAUUCUUCGCAGAGCGCUUCACGGAGUCCCGAACUGGCACUGACAACGGAUUCGUGUCACUUCUCUAACCCCACGCAACAACCACCUCUUUUCCGCCGAGACUUCGGUCCCUCCGCACCACAACAGGCUUAUGGCUAGAUGUGUUACGACGCCAAGACGAAAACCUAGAAAUCAAUUAAGCCAAAAUCGUGAAAACAGAAAAGGCGAGGAAGGUCAAAGCCGCCGAAGUUCCGAGGAAAUGCAAGGUGGAAGGGCGACACGAAACGACAAACCUCCAGUUGUGGUCGAGAGUGACCAAGGUUUGCAAAUCUCGGUAAGUGUCUUUGCCAGAAGAUAGGAACCGUCAAAGUUCAGUUUGGAAAGCGGUUAAGGGAGUGAGGUCGAUAAGAGCUUUGGUUCAAAUGAGGAGGUGGAGGUGGUGGUGGGAAGAGAUAAUUUGUUGUGACGUCUGCGGCUUCGACUGCGGCGGCAGAAGGAGGAGCACACGACGGUGAGACGGCAAUGGUGACGGCAUGGGGAUGGCGGAGCGAACUGGGGGGGAAGGUGUUGACAGAGAACCCCACGAUCUUGUUCCUUAGCCUCUUCGAUGGUCAUGGGCACUUCUAGCUUUGUGAGGGAAGAGUGAACGAGAAUGAGAAUCUCUCAGUUUUUUUUUUAAUGGAUCUAGGGUUGUCCAAGCUCUUGUCCAAUUAAAACGUGCCACGCCAGCAACAAAAAGUGGAAACUCAAUGUUUUUAAAGACGGUUUUAAAAAAACGAUUUAAUUUUAGAAGAUGGUUUUGAAAAAAUGAUACAGUAAAGUAUAUUUAAAGUCAUUUCUAAAGAAAUUGCCUUUAAAAAGUUACAACUAUUUAAAAAAUGUCGCCGCUUUGCUUACUACAUUGACCUUUGUAUAACCGACUUAAAAUCAAUAUCAUAAAAUACUUUUUUUCUAGUAGUAUAAUUGUUUUAUACUAUAAUUUUAAACUAAUCAACUUCAAAACAUAUAUACAUGAAAAGUUGCAAGCGGAUGGGGAUGGGGAUAGGGUCUGCUCACCUCUAGAUCCGCAGUGGAUAAUAGCCUAACUUUUUGUUAUGUGAUAAAAAAAACAUUAAUUAAAUUAUAAAGUGAAGAUAAAAUUUACAUCCUUGUCGUUAAUUUAGUCUCAUUCAAAAGUGAAGCAUUCUCAUGUCAUGGACAAGCCUAAAUGUUAAUGAUUGACAUACAAAGCAAAUCAAUGUAACGCUCUGGUGGAAUUAUUACAAAAUAAUUCUUAUUCUACAAGGCAAUGUAUCAUUGGACUGCAUUUACGUUUGUUUUAAUCAAUACCAGAACUCAGAUUCUCUUACCUGCCAAAUUAUAAUUUUUUUACUGAGUUAACAGUUGAUACAAAUUUAGAUGUUACGAAAAUUAAAUGAAAUUCUAAAUCCGAAUUUUCGUAAAUAAUUCUUUUCAUAAUUUUAUUUAGGAUACGUGUAAAUAGUAUGAAUGUUUUUUUUGUUUUUUUAUAAAACAAAUCCAUUUUAUAUAUGUAUCCUUCUUUUUCCCCCUCGGUAAGGUAUAUACAGUAGGAUAUUUGCCAAUAAUUUUACAAAAAUAGGUAAAAGUAAAAAAAAUAUUUUCGUAUAAGGUGUAAGUAAUUUUUUGAGCGAAUUAGGAUAUUUUCUUAUCUAAAGCUACAGAAUUAAUUCCCCAAAAUAUUAAGAUUCAUUUUAAGUAGUUGAUAUAUCUUAAUAGAUAAUUAUUCAUACACAUAAAAAUUCAUGAAUAAGUUUAUUUAACAUUCAUGUUAGAUGAUAUAGUAUGAAAAUUAUUGACAUGUCAUAGGUUUUUUUUUAUAUCAAUUAUAAUUAUAAUUGAUGUAGAAAGUGACUUUUACAUCAAUUACAAACCUAAUCAAUGAAAAAAGUGAUUUUUUUAAAAUAAUUAGAUUACAUGUAUGACCCAUGUAAAAAAUACAUGGGAUAUAACUAGGAUAAAAAAAAAAUCACUCUUGUAAAUAAUUUUGCAGGCAGGAUUUUGGUUAGAGAGCAUCCACGGUUAAGGGAAAUCUGAAAUAUAAUCAUAAAUAUGUUACUUUUUUAAUUUAUUAUUUUUAAAAUAAUUACUCUUUAAAAACUGAGAGCACAUUUGUUAUUUCGUGCGAUUCGUGAUGCAUUUCUUCGUACAGAAUAAUAGCAAUCUUUUAUUUAUUCUUUUACGUGUGCAGUUAUGGACGUCUGCACGUUGGAAAUCAAAUAUUGACCUCAAAGAUAGCCCAGUACAAGAGAUAUGGCUUAGGCUUCACUCACUGCAUAUCCCCCCACACUUCCGCUUCAUUUGGUUAAACACCUUGAUUGUGGACGGCUGCCAUUUUUUAUCAGAUGCGGUCUUACCUUUCUGUUUACUUCCUUUAUUACCUAAAUUGAAAACAUUGCAAGUUCGAAACUGUGAUUUUGUGAAAAUCAUAUUUGAUGUGACAACUAUGGGACCACUCCCUUUUGCCUUGAAGACAUUGAUUUUAGAGCGGCUGCCAAAUCUGGAGAAUGUUUGGAAUUCAAAUGUUGAGCUUACGUUCCCCGAUGUGAAGUCAUUGGCACUAUGUGAUCUGCCAAAGUUAAAGUAUGACAUGUUGAAGCCAUUUACACAUCUAGAACCACAUCCUCUAAAUCAAGUCUGUAUUCAAAAGGUAUCAUUACUACUUCUAUAUAUAUGAACUAAAUUUCCAUCAUUAGUGUUCUUUACUACUUCUGUAUAUAUGAACUAAAUUGUCAUCAUUAGUGUUCUUUACUACUUCUAUAUGAACAAAUUGCCAUCCUGUUAAAAUUAAAAUGUUGUGAACCUUUCCCAUAUAUAUGCUAUGUUGAGUCUUCUAUCGAUCUUCUACGCAUAUUUGCUUCCAUUUUUUUUAUGAUUUAUCCACAUAAGUCAGAUAAUAGAGCUACUAUUAAAUAUUGAUCAUGAUGAAUUUAUAAUGGAACAUGUUGCAUUCAUGAUGUGAAACAGCAUUUGAGGUACGAUCCCUACUCUCAUUAUUUUCUUCUACAACCUUCCUAAUAAUCUCAUUUAUCACUUUUCCCGUCUCAAAAAUAUUAAACUCGAAAUAAAUUUGUUUGGACACAUAUCGACAUACGGUAUCAAUAUCCUUUCCCCACCUUAUAAAUAGCUAGCCUAGUUCGUCUUUUUUUUCUUUUAGCAUGAAAGUUCAUUAUUUCAAUUAUAUAAUAAAGAGCUGGAUCUAUAACUGCCCUAACCUGCUUUGUUGGUUUCUCUUCGUAGCUUACACCCAACAUAGAGCACCUGAUACUCGGUGAACAUGAACUGAACAUGAUUUUGAGUGGAGAAUUCCAGGGAAACCACUUAAACAAGUUAAAAGUUCUUACUCUGUCGUUUGAAUACGACGAAUUUCUACAACGGGUGCCCAAUAUAGAGAAGCUUGAGGUGUGUGAUGGUUUCUUCAAAGAGAUUUUCUGCUUUGAUAGCCUUAAUGUGGAUGAGGAUGGAUUGGUUUCACAGCUGAAAGUGAUAUGCUGGGACUCCCUUCCAGAGCUUGUUUCCAUUGGGUCAGAGAACUCUGGGAUUGUGCCCUUUCUCAGAAAUCUAGAAACAUUGCAAGUAAUCAGCUGUUUGAGUUCAAUAAAUCUGGUACCAUGCACAGUGUCUUUCUCCAAUCUGACAUAUUUGCUAGUACAAAAUUGCAAGAGUCUGCUAUAUUUGUUCACAUCCUCAACAGCAAGAAGUUUGGGUCAACUCAAAACAAUGGAGAUAAGUUGGUGUGAUUCAAUUGAAGAGAUAGUGUCUUCAGCAGAGGAAGGGGAUGAAUCAGAUGAGAAUGAGAUAAUAUUUCAGCAGCUCAAUUGUUUGAAACUUGACGGAUUAGGAAAGCUGAGAAGGUUCUACAAAGGGAGUUUAAGUUUCCCGUCCUUGGAGGAAUUCACAGUAAUCGGUUGCGAGAGAAUGGAAAGUUUGUGUGCAGGUACAGUCAAAACAGACAAGCUGUUAGAAGUGAAUAUUAAUUGGGGCGGAGAUGUUAUCCCAUUGGAAACUAAUCUCAACUCUGCCAUGCAAAACCGAUAGCCAUUUCUGUCUUUUUAAUCAACAUUAUUAUAAUUGUUGUUAUCAUACACUGUGUCAGAAAUUUGGAUGGAAAUAACUUUUUCUGAGGAGAAUGACUUUGCCUAAAUAACUCGCAAUUCGAGGCCAUGUUAAAUUAUUUUUAUCUUUAUUUAUGUACUAGUUUAAAAAAUUACUGAAUUUCGUUUUUACGAGUAUGCUAUGUUAAAAGAUUAAUUUUAAUUUUUAAGAGUUUAAUUACUGUGUCUAUAACUAAAAGUGCGUCAUAAGUUAUAUUAAUUGUUCUUUUUGUUUACUAUUACUUUUACCUAUAUUUCAAGCUUCAAAGUUUUCAACAUAUAACUUCGUCGAGAAAAAAAAAUCUUCAACAUAACUCUUGAUUGUAGUUGGAGUUUUCCACUUUGCUAAUCUCCUACAAUUAACAUCUAAAUCGGCUUUAGCCAAGGCCAAUAACGGAAUUGUAACUGCUGUACUGAAUGAAUCAUUCGAUUAUUUAUUAAAAUUACGAAGAGUAUCCGUGCGAAUAUUGUCCCUAUUAAUUAUUUGGGAGACUUUUUUUAAUAUAUAUAGCCUGCUAAUCAUGUGAAAACGAAACCAUAUUUGGUGUGAAACGUGCAACACAAGACAAAAUCAUGACUUCUACAACAGGUAUAUGUUGACAAUUGUAAUUGCCAUAAAAGUGUGUUUCCCGAAUCAGUAGGCAAAGAUCUUGUGAAACUUGAAAAUCUAGUUAUUGCAGAGGAUAAUGCAAUAGUUGCAAUAUAGCCUGCUAUAAUCGUCUAAUCGAUUGCCCCUGGAUGAAAACUUUCAGCCCUGUCAACAACUGGUUUUCUGCAGCAAAUGAUUUGAGCUUUAUUCUCUCAUUAAUAUACAGUCAAUCAUAUAGAUUACUAACACACGCCAUUAUCAUACAGUGUAAUAUGUUAAAGGAUCUCAAAUCUUUAUAACUAAACAAUCUCUUACCAACCAUGUAAACUAUUUUUCAUUAUUUUCUUCUCCGUUGGACCCUCAAUAACAUCUCCGUAUUGAUCUCAUUUAUCAAAAGUUUCAUCUUAAAAUUUUAAACUCUAAACAAAUUUGUAUGCCCACAUACAAUAUCAAAACCUUUCCACCUUAUUAAUAGCUAGCCUGGUUCAAUUUUUUGGCUUUUAAGUAAAUUAUAUUUUUUUUUCUUUUAAAAUGACUUGUUUGCACCUAUUUAAUUGAAAAAAUUAAUUUCUCAUUAACUAUCAGGCAUAUUUCAGUAUGAAAGCUCAUUUUUCAAUUAUACAUAAAAGUGUUGGAUCUAUAACUAUCCUAAACUGAUUUUUCUCAUUGUUAUUGUUUUAUGUGAUUAUGAAAAAGCUUAACAAUUUAUAAAGUUCUUAUCAAUUAAUGUGUGAUUCAAUAACUUGUUCCACUAGGACGAUGCAUGCAUUAUAUUUCAUGUGAACCCAAUAGCUUACUAUUCAUAAAAAAAAUCCCAACCUAUCUUAUUUAACCUUUUGUAAUAUGUAGAGAUUGUUGUAAUUUGAAGUAUAUAACAAAAGAUCGAGUCCCAUAUUGUUGGGGAUAAUUUUGACUCAAGUUUUUAUAUAUCAGUUUUGUGGUAUAGGUUUAGAAGCUAACUAGUAAAAAAAAAAAAUCUAUCGUGCAAGCAUUCUCAUUUUCCUCAGUAUUCUUAAUUUGAGUUUAGCUUACCAACAUACAUCUCAGCUGAAAUUGCUCGAGACAAGAAGUUGUUUAAUGUGGUGGCUUUUUGAGAAAUAACAGACAACCCCAAUCUAAAAAAGUCCAGGAAAGAUAUUGUUUACGUGUUGGGAUUGAGAUUGGAAGAAGAAGGUGAGAAUGUAAGAGCUGAUACAGAUUAGACUUGAAUAGGUUGGGGAUUCCACUUGAUGGUGAUUAUAAGGGCUGCAAAAUUUUGCUAACUUCAAGAAAUAAAAACGUAUUAACUGAUAAAAUGGAAGUUAAGUCAACUUUCUCUGCAGAGAAAUUAGAUGAAAAAGAUGCUGAUCAAGUUGUUUCGGAAGGAGGCUAGAAUAUAGGGUGAAAUGUCAAAGUCUAAACAAGAAAUUGUUAAAGUUCAGGAUUACCUAUGGCAAUAGUUAUAGUUGGAAGGACAUUGAGAGACAAGAGCAACUCAGUGGGAAAAACUUAAAAACAAAGACCAGGUGGGAGAUCAGACUAAUAAAAAUUAAUCUAAGCUCCCGAUGACUACCGAAGCAUCCAAACUAACAAAAAUUACAUCAAUAAUGAUCCCUUAUGCUUUCAGCAUUAAAUGGAAAAGAAUUGUUGUAUUCGUGUGUCGGAUACAGCCGGGAUACAACUUUGAUACGACUCACGUUGCUUGGAUACGACUCUCAUGUUUCUUUGAAUAUUUUAAUAAUAUUAUUGUUUAAACUUUAGUUACGAUUUUUAAAAUAAAUAAAAAGUACAAACAUAAACAAAAACACAACUUUUUGCUUUUCUCAAAACAUAAACAAAAACAUAACAUAUCAUUUUCCUCCGAGCAUGAAAAGUCCUUUUUCGGCAAUUUUGAACUUUCUUUUAGUGAGGGAGUUUAUUUUUCUGGUCUCUCUCCACACAAAGCACAAACCAUGCUUUUAUUGAACAUAAUCUUUCUGCCAACUAUGAUUGCUAAAACAUAAUCCGCAUAUUUGCAGUGUUUUAAGUUUUAACAACUCUCAGUAUCAUUUUCAUAAUUUCAUUUUAACACCAACAUAUUGACUUUUUUUUUAACAUUCAUAUAUAUAUAUAUAAAGGAAUGUUAUAAAGGAAUGUUAUCAUCAUAUUUUCAUCGAUUCCUAUUAUAAGGUAUCUAUUAUUAGUAAGGCUUAAGGUAUCCUUUAAUCCAUUAAAUAUAAAAGUUAUUUUUCACAAAAGAUGUAUCUUUAUUAUUUAUCACUAUUGUUCAUAAACUAGGAAUGUUACUCUUCCAAACCCUCCUCGACAGAUCAAAACAACCCAUCUCACACGCUUUGCGCUCUUCCAGAGUUCCACACGUUGACAACCCCAUCAGAGACAGUGCCGUAAGAGCAACAUCACCUCCGUGACAAGUGGUCCCCCUCAUCUGACUUUAAAAAAGGCUAUACAUGCAUGCAGAAUCAAUACACAGCUAAUGAAUUAAAAAUUUAGUAGAUGUGAAUUAAUGGGAUGGAAUUAAUGUGUUUAAGAUCAAGUUUGAGUGUGAAGCUGGCAAUCUUCUUUCUUGUGAGAAUAAAAGAAAAAUUCUUCGUUAAAGACACAAAUAUACAUUCAAACUUAUAUCUUUUUUAUGUUUUUUAAAAUCUGAGAUGCCUUUGUAAUUUUUAACACAUGGUUACUUGAUCUGGUUUUAGUAAAUGUAUUUUGAUUUUUGAUUGAACAACUAUAUAACAUUCUUUAAUUUACUCAUUAGCUCUUGACGGAUCUGUUGGAGAAGAGAUGUAAUUGUACCUAGUACAAGAAAAUCAAGAUCAAAGCAUGAAGACUGUGUCCAGCCAGUAACUAAUUCUGUGUUGGAUAUGCUUGAAAAGCAAGUGGAUUACAUCCGUUACAGGCGAAACUUUGAUGAACUAGAAGUGUGUUAAUUUCCUUACUUUAGGAACGAUGAUGACCACAAAAAGACACGGUUUUCCAAUUGUUUAUUUCCUUACUUAAUAAUGCAAUGAGGACAAUUGAGACAGGCUGGCAGGGAUGGAUCAUUCAUUUAUAAGCUUAAACUGAAAGAAUCUUUAAUUUACACCCGUGAAAGAAAAAGCCAGGACCACUUCUACUCUCCAUUAUAUCAACCUACUUCCCCACUUAUUUCGUUUACGUCCUUAGCUGGGGCAUCAAUUUGUUUAUUUAAUCCCUGUACUUUUUAUAAAAAUGUUAUUUGUGGCCCAUCAUGAAUAUAUAGAUAAUCACCACAAUUAAGAAUGCAAUGAAGAUAAGAUGACAAUUGAGAUAAGAGGGAAUGAACCUUAAGAUAUUUUUACAUUCCAAACACUCAAACAGGGAGGAUCAUUUCUGAUCGAGUAUGUUUUCUGGUUUCUUUCGUCAUGCUCUCAGUAUUCUCUUGCUCUUUAACUUGAUCUUGGUCUUCUUCGGACUAGUAGUACGCCAUCCAUAUGCUUAAAUCAUGUUUAGCUUGCCAACAUAUUUCUGCUUUCUUCCUAAAUCUGCUCUUUUUUUCUCACAUUCAGUUUAUUGCUUAGGAUUUGGAAUAGUGACAAGUAAAGACAAAUCACAACUCACGGUCAUCCAAUUCCAAGAAUAGAGGUUUGCUCCUUUCUUUAUAGCUUAUUAUAUUGGCUACUUCUUUUGUUCAUUUAUUCAAGAUUUGAAGAAAUUUCACUCAUAAAGAUGGAUAUAUAAAGUUCUCGUUUAGAUCUUUCAACUCUCAUGGCUAAUUUAACAAAAAAAAUAAUACAUUAUAAUUUUUUCCUAAUUUAACUGGUAGCUCUUUAACAAAAUUUUGACAAAAUUCAUUUCAUUCAAAUGUCCAAUAAUAAGCUUUAAGAGGCAGCAGCUUCAAAACGAGGGGAAUAUUCAGAAAUGAAUGCUCAUAAAUAAAUAUAUUUGCAGGCUAGCUUUUUGUUUCUUAGUUAUCAAUUUGGUCUUCAAGGUUUAAUUUGAUUUCAAAUUUCAGCGAUUUUAUUUAUGAACAGUGGCAAUUAGUAUAUUUAUUAUUAGUUUAAAAAAUAAAACAAAUUUCAUUUCUUUUUCUUCUUGACUUUUGGUUCUGUGCUUGGUUUCAUCCUCGGAAGGAUUUCCCAAAGCAAAGUGGUGGUGCCACGCCACAGUGGUCAACUUUUGAGUGCGUGUGGUUUGGUUGGGUUAAGCCAAAGUGCGGAGUGAAGAAGAAGAAAAAAUGAGAAUCCUUUUAUUUUUUUAUAUAAUAAUAAAUAUAGUGACGGAAGAAGAAGAAAUGAUUAAAUAUCGUCACUAUUCAUAAACAAAAUCAGUUGAAAUUUUUUAUCUUAAGGAUGCCAACCUAAUUAGACGGAAAAGAGCAGAUUGGUCUGUUUUGUCUAUUUUAAAAUAAUUUGUGAUUAAAGUGAAUUUUUAAAAAAUUUGGAACCAAAUUAUACCUUUUAAAAAAUAAUUUAGGAACUAAAUUGAUAAUUAAGUUUUUUUUAAGGAUGCUCCAAACUUUUGGAUUAAUAAUAGUGAUGUAUAUUUUCAUUAUUUAACUAUAUGCUUUAUAAUAUAUAGUUUAUUAGACCUACAACCGUAUUCCAAUUUAGGUUUUUUUUUACCUAACAGGGGUAGUUUUAUUUUUGAAAAAUUUAUCAAGAUGAGUAAUUUUUGAAUUUAAUAGGGAGUUAUGAUUAAGUUAUGUUUUAAAACUUAACUUUUAAUAAACCACAUGCUAAUGUGCACAAAAUAAAUGAAAUGCAUGGAUAAAUGCACACACUUAUCCAUUUUGAGCGUCCUUGUCUUACAAUUGUUUGUGAUCAUCAACAUAUAUAUGUUAAUCAUUUGGAUAAAUUAUUUUUAUUAUUUAAAUAAAUUAUUUUUUAGCGUCUUGGUCUUGCAAUUGUACUGCAAUCAUCAAAAUAUAUUUAAAAUUAUUGAAUUCUAUUUAAAUAAAUUAUAUUUGUCAUUUAAAAAUAUUAUUGAAAAUGAAAGUUUUUAAACCAUGGAGUCCUUCCCGUUGUUCAUUGAUUAUUAAAUGAACUUGUGAAUUUCGAUUAACAUUACUACUUAAAAUCAAAAUUAUCUAAAUAAACAUUUAAUUAUUAUAAUUGUAUAUUAUAUCGCGUUUUAUUACUUAAUAUGAAAACUAUCAAAAUUAUUUUUUUAAUUAUCAAAUUAUAUACUACCUCCGUUCUUAUUUAUAAAAAACAAGUUAUACUAUAAAAAGAAAUAAAGAUAAUAUUAAAUAAGAUUAUUCUAAACAACAUAAUUUUGCAUUAAAUAAAAUUGUUAAAAAAAUAUAUAAUCAUUGAUUAUUAUGAAACUAAGGUUUCGAUAAUUGACAAACUUUUAUUCAAGUAUCUCUUACUAUAUGUUUUUUGAAUAAAAAAGUAACAUUUACUAUAAACUAGAUUUUAAAUCCAUGCAUUGCAAAAAUUUCUUUAAUUUUUUUUAUAUUUUACUUAAUACUUUUUAAAAUAUAUAUUUAUCAAUAAAAUUAUUAUUUUUAAAAAUAUUUAUAUUAAAUUUGAGGAAGAAGAUUAUCUAUAUUCUUAAUUAAGUUCAUUUAUAAAUACUUAAAUGUGUUUGCGCUAAACAUCAAAUUAUGGUACUAUUCAAAUAAUUUAACUUUAACUUCAAUAUAUUAAUUAUUUGUGUUCAAUCGCUUGAUUAAAGAGUCUUCAAUCUACACCUACCAUAGUAUUUAUAGUUUGAAUAAAAUUAAAUUAAAAAAUAAAGUAUACUCAUAUAUAUAUAUAAUAACUUUUAUUUUAAUUUUUAUCCUUAAUUAUUAAUUUUAAAAGUAUAUAAUAAAUAUAAUAUUAAAAAUUAAUAUGAAAAUGGUAUAAAUUAACAUUUUAUCAUCAAAAUUAUAUAUAAAUAGAAUUAAUGUUAGCAAUUUAAUUUUUUUAUUAAAUGUAAUUAGCUAGGAGCAUUAAAUUAAAUUACAUCCGACUACUAUUACAAAGUUAAAUAAUCAAUCUAAUGAUUAGAAAACUUCAGUUGAACUUUAUUAUAGAUAUAAGAGAGAUAACUCUAUAUAUUAUUAUUUCUCAUGAAAUAUAUAUUAGAGUAACUAAUGUAGAAAAUGAGCAUAAGUAGUGAUAAAACAUUUAACAUUACUACUUAAAAUUAAAAUUAUCUAAAUAAACAUUUAAUUAUUACAAUUGUAUAUUAUAUAGUGUUUUAUUGAAAAUGAUCAAAUUUAUUUUUUUAAUUAUUAAAUUAUAUACUACCUCCGUUCUUUUUUAUAUAAAAAAAGUUAUACUAUAAAAAAAAUAGAAAAUAUUAAAUAAGAUUAUUGUAAACAACAUAAUUUUGCAUUAAAUAAAAUUGUUAAAAAAAAUAUAUAAUCAUUGAUUAUGAUGAAACUAAGGUUUCGAUAAUUGACAAACUUUUAUUCAAGUAUCUCUUAUUAUAUUUUUCUAAUAAAAAAAGUAUGAUUUACUCUAAACUAGAUUUUAAAUCCAUGCAUUGCAAAAAUUUCUUUAAAUUUUGUUAUUUUACUUAAUACUUUUUAAAAUAUAUAUUUAUCAAUAAAAAUUUUGUUUUUUAAAAUAUUUAUAUUAAAUUUGAGGAAGAAUAUUAUCUAUAUUCUUAAUUAAGUUAAUUUAUAAAUGCUUUAAAUGUGUUUAUUGUAAAAAAAAAUAUUUUUUAGAAUUGUUGAAUAGUGUGAUUUUAUUAAUUAAAUAUGGUCGUUAAUUAUGUUUAAAUGUUUAUUUAUUUAUUUAUUUUUAGAAAAUGUUUGUAAUCUCGGAAAAAGAAAAAAUGAGUUGGUUUUCUUAUAUUGAAUCCUCAUAUGAAUAAUACAUACAUUUUUUGUAUUGUUAUAUUUGAAAUGUUUGAUUAGUGUUUGAGUCAUGUGGUAUUAUUGCUUGUAACAUAGGUUGUAACAUAGGUUUAGUGGGUCUAGAACCAUUUGCAAUUUCUUUAAAAAUAUUACCUGAAUGGUCGUAUACCGUGUCCAUUAAGUUAUUGAGCGUUGUUUUAAUGAUUUCAGUAUUUACAAGAUUAUUAAGAGUGUCCUUUUUGGAGAAUGUUAAUAAACUCGAUUUUGAACAAACAAUUAACAUUUAUCAUUAAAUUUAUUAAUAUAAGAAGGAUUAAUAUAUAUGUUUCAAACUUUAUAAGGAUUACUAAUCAUUAAAAUUGUUACCGUUGUCUUUAUAUGUAGAAAAGAGGAUAUUUUUUCACCUAUAUUAAGAGUAUGCAAGUCAUAUUUAUUUUUUGCAUUUAGUAGGAUUAUAUUGGUUUUUUAAACUUUAAUAUUAAUAAUAAUAAAAUAUGCAUAACGGUUAAUUAUAAGAUAUUCUGAUUUUUUUUAUAAGUUGAUGAAAAGGGCAUUUAGUAGGAUUAUUGAUUUUUUUGUUGUUGUUCAAAAUGGGAAAAGAUACAUAUUUGGUAAAACAUACAAACAACUAUGCUUUUGUAUUAUUAGAUUUAUUUAACUAUAAGCUUUAUAAUUUAUAGUUUCUUAUACCAUAUGUUUGUUUAUCAUAUUAUAUAGUAACUCUUAAUACUUAGAAUUAUCUUCGUACGGCUAAAUCUUACAAAAUACAAUUUUUUUUACAAUUAUGAGAGACAUAGAAAGAAAUAGUAAAAAGUAAUUAGGAGUAAAAUGAAUAAUAUAAAAGAGAAAAAUAGAAGAAUUUUUUUAUAAAAAUUAAAAUUAAUAAUAAAAACAUACUGUACAAAUAAUGCUACUUUUACUUAUCCAUUACUUAACCAAGCCGUACAAUUAUUAAUUAGAAUUUAUAAAAUAUAUUGAAUAAUAUUGUUUUGAAGAAGCAUUCUCUCCCUGUAUUCACACCCCUCCUCCAAAGGUUGUUCCUCUACCAAUCCUCUUUGAAAAACCAGAAAUCCAAUUGGCAUCAGUGUCUAUGACAGAACAUUGAAGCAUAUCACACAGAAUAUGAGAAACCUUAUCUAUUAAUUUAGUGUUGUCAUCAACCCAUUAAUCAUGCCAAACACUAGCAAUGGACUCCCACAGAAAUGAGUCUGAAUUUUAAACAAUUAAAGAGCUCGGAUUGCUGUCAUUUCUGCCAUAUUUUCCUUUUAACACUUGCACCCACAAGCUAUCACUUCUGAUCGAGUAUGUUGUCUGGUUUCUUUCGUCAUGCUCUCAGUAUUCCUAAAUCUGCUCUUUCUUUCUCACAUUCAGUUUAUUGCUUAGGAUUUGGAAUAGUGACAAGUAAAGACAAAUCACAACUCACGGUCAUCCAAUUCCAAGAAUAGAGGUUUGUUCCUUUCUUUAUAGCUAAUUAUAUUGGCUACUUCUUUUGUUCAUUUAUUCAAGAUUUGAAGAAAUUUCACUCAUAAAGAUGGAUAUAUAAAGUUCUCGUUUAGAUCUUUCAACUCUCAUGGCUAAUUUAACAAAAAAACAAUAUAUUAUAAUUUUUUCCUAAUUUAACUGGUAGCUCUUUAACAAAAUUUUGACAAAAUUCAUUUCAUUCAAAUGUCCAAUAAUAAGCUUCAAAACGAGGGGAAUAUUCAGAAAUGAAUGCUCAUAAAUAAAUAUAUUUGCAGGCUAGCUUUUUGUUUCUUAGUUAUCAAUUUGGUCUUCAAGGUUUAAUUUGAUUUCAAAUUUCAGCGGCUUUUAUUUAUGAACAGUGGCAAUUAGUAUAUUUAUUAUUAGUUUAAAAAAUAAAACAAAUUUCAUUUCUUUUUCUUCUUGACUUUUGGCUCUGUGCUUGGUUUCAUCCUCGGAAGGAUUUCCCAAAGCAAAGUGGUGGUGCCACGCCACAGUGGUCAACUUUUGAGUGCGUGUGGUUUGGUUGGGUUAAGCCAAAGUGAGGAGUGAAGAAGAAGAAAAAAUGAGAAUCCUUUUAUUUUUUAAAUAAUAAUAAAUAUAAUGACAGGAAGAAGAAGAAAUGAUUAAAAAUCGUCACUAUUCAUAAACAAAAAGAUGCCAACCUAAUUAGAUGGGUUAAGCCAAAGUGCCGAGUGAAGAAGAAGAAAAAAUAAGAAUCCUUUUAUUUUUUAAAUAAUAAUAAAUAUAAUGACAGGAAGAAGAAGAAAUGAUUAAAAAUCGUCACUAUUCAUAAACAAAAAGAUGCCAACCUAAUUAGACGUAAAAGAGGAGAUUGAUCUGUUUUAUCUGUUUUUAAAAUUUUAGAACCAAACUAUACCUUUUAAAAAAUAAUUUAGGAACCAAAUUGAUAAUUAUGUUUUUUUUAAGGAUGAUUCAAACUUUUGAAUUAAUAGUGAUGUAUAUUUUCAUUAUUUAACUAUAUGAAUUUAUUACGGAGUUGUGAAUAAGUUAUGUUUUAAAACAUAACUUUUAAUAAACCACAUGCUAAUGUGCACAAAAUAAAUGAAAUGCAUGGAUAAAUGCACUGACUUAUCCAUUUUGAGCGUCCUUGUCUUACAAUUGUUUGUGAUCAUAAACAUAUAUGUUAGGGAUCAUUUGGAUAAAUUAUUUUUAUUAUUUAAAUAAACUAUUUUUUAGCGUCCUGGUCUUACAAUUGUACUGCGAUCAUCAAAAUAUAUUUGAAAUUAUUGAAUUCUAUUUAAAUAAAUUAUAUUUAUCAUUUAAAAAUAUUAUUGAAAAUGAAAGUUUUUAAACCAUGGAGUCCUUCCCAUUGUUCAUUGAUUAUUAAAUGAACUUGUGAAUUUUGAUUGAUGAAAUGUAUUUCCUUAAUUAGUUAUAGACUGAUAUGGUUUUUAUUUAUGUGGGGAAGAGAUGUAGUUAUAGUAUCAAGCUGACAGAAUGGAGUCUGUGUUGUCCCCGAUAGUGGAACGAACCUUUAAUUUUGCGGUGGACCCCAUUAUUCGGCAGUUGGCCUACAUCCUCCGUUGCAGGCAAAAUGUUGAUGAACUCUUGACUAGUUUUGAGAGUCUUGAACUUGAAAAAGAGUCCAUAGAUCGUCGAUGUGACCAAGCUCAGAAUAAUUUACAAAACAUUGAAGCCAAAGUCAAAGAAUGGUCAAGGAAAGUAGAUGAGUUCAAGACUGAACUAGAGAAGUUUAGGAACGAUGAAGGCCACACAAAGACAGGGUUGUCCAAUGUUUUAUUUUUAUUUCCUUACUUUUGGAAUAGGCAUAGACUUGGCAGACAAGCUAAGAAGAUGGCAGAGAUUGUCAAGAAUCUAAUAGAUGAGUCGGCCAAGUUCAAUGAUGUUUCCUACACAGACAACUUAACAUUUAAUGAUUUCACUUUGUCUAAUCCGGGCUACAUGGGAUUUGCUUCUAGACAUUCUACAGUGGAAAAAAUAAUUGCAAAACUUGAAGAUUCCUCUGUAAGAAUGAUUGGGCUGCAUGGGAGUGGUGGCAUGGGUAAGACCACUUUAAUCAAAGCAAUUGCUAAGAAAGCUAUGGAGAAGAAGCUGUUUAAUGUGGUGGCUGUAUCAGAAAUCACAGCCAAUCCCAAUCCACAAAAAAUCCAGGAAGACAUUGCUUACCGGUUAGGAUUGAGAUUGGAAGGGGAGGGUGAGAAUGCUAGAGCUCAUCGUCUGAUGACGAGGUUAAAGCAAGAGAAGGAGAACACCCUUAUAAUCUUGGAUGACCUUUGGGACAGAUUAGACUUGAAUAAGUUAGGGAUUCCACUUGAUGGUGAUGUUGAUGAUAAUGAUUUAAACACGAAGACAAGCAAUGCUAAACAGGGUCCCAAAGAGGUGACUAAAGAAAAAUCUCUUGGUGAUUAUAAGGGCUGCAAAAUUUUGCUAACUUCAAGGGAUAAAAACGUAUUAACUGAUAAAAUGGAAGUUAAGUCAACUUUCUGUGUAGAGGAAUUAGAUGACGAUGAUGCUCUGAGGUUGUUUCGGAAGGAGGCUAGAAUACAGGGUGAAAUGUCCAAGUGGAAACAAGAAAUUGUUAAGAAGUACUGUGCAGGGUUACCUAUGGCAAUAGUUACAGUUGGAAGGGCAUUAAGAGAAAAGAGCGACUCGGAGUGGGAAAAACUUAAAAACCAAGACCUGGUGGGUGUUCAGAAUUCUAUGGAGAUUUCUGUAAAAAUGAGUUAUGACCGUCUAGAAAAUGAGGAGCUCAAGUCCAUUUUCUUUCUUUGUGCUCAAAUGGGUCAUCAACCCCUAAUUAUGGACUUGGUGAAGUAUUGCUUUGG
rnacentral:lncRNA from 1 species